rnacentral:rRNA from 1 species
ACGAACGCUGGCGGCGUGCUUAACACCUGCCAGUCGAACGGAAAGGCCCUGCUUUUGUGGGGUGCUCGAGUGGCGAACGGGUGAGUAACACGUGAGUAACCUGCCCUUGACUUUGGGAUAACUUUAGGAAACUGGGGCUAAUACCGGAUAGGAGCUCCUGCUGCAUGGUGGGGGUUGGAAAGUUUCGGCGGUUGGGGAUGGACUCGCGGCUUAUCAGCUUGUUGGUGGGGUAGUGGCUUACCAAGGCUUUGACGGGUAGCCGGCCUGAGAGGGUGACCGGCCACAUUGGGACUGAGAUACGGCCCAGACUCCUACGGGAGGCAGCAGUGGGGAAUAUUGCACAAUGGGCGGAAGCCUGAUGCAGCAACGCCGCGUGCGGGAUGACGGCCUUCGGGUUGUAAACCGCUUUCGCCUGUGACGAAGCGUGAGUGACGGUAAUGGGUAAAGAAGCACCGGCUAACUACGUG